UAUUAGGUUUAUGAGAAUCAUGCUAGCACACAGUUGAUUCUUCUCGAGACUUCGAUUUGAUCAAGUUUAUAACCUGGAACCAAACCUAAAUCCAUUUGAGUUUAACUGGGCUCUUAAUUGUGAGUCUAAGAGAAUUUGAUUAAGUCAAUUAGUUGGUAUAAUUAUCCUAACAUUAUCUCUUCUUUAUCUCUUAAUUAUCUCUAAGUGUGCAUAUAGAAUAGAUGAA
rnacentral:lncRNA from 1 species